CUACGGGUUGCAGCAGUGGGGAAUAUUGCACAAUGGGCGCAAGCCUGAUGCAGCCAUGCCGCGUGUAUGAAGAAGGCCUUCGGGUUGUAAAGUACUUUCAGCGGGGAGGAAGGGAGUAAAGUUAAUACCUUUGCUCAUUGACGUUACCCGCAGAAGAAGCACCGGCUAACUCCGUGCCAGCAGCCGCGGUAAUACGGAGGGUGCAAGCGAUAAUCGGAAUUACUGGGCGUAAAGCGCACGCAGGCGGUUUGUUAAGUCAGAUGUGAAAUCCCCGGGCUCAACCUGGGAACUGCAUCUGAUACUGGCAAGCUUGAGUCUCGUAGAGGGGGGUAGGAUUCCAGGUGUAGCGGUGAAAUGCGUAGAGAUCUGGAGGAAUACCGGUGGCGAAGGCGGCCCCCUGGACGAAGACUGACGCUCAGGCGCGAAAGCGUGGGGAGCAAACAGGAUUAGAUACCCCUGUAGUC
rnacentral:rRNA from 1 species